ACUAACGGCCAAAUUCCCCUAAGGAACUUGCCAUAAUCACUCACAUGUGAUUUAUCCUGUAGGUAUACAUGAAACUAAGCACGACCACUUUAUGGUGAAACGAUCAAUAUGUCAUUACUCUCUCUCAUCCAAUGCUACCAACGAUAACGAAUGAAAAAGAGAAGACUAAAUAGUAAUCUUGUAUAUUGUACGUUGUUACGUUGAAGAUGGAUAAAACGUUUUCUGCCAGACAAGUUAAAAAUAUCAAACGGAACACAAAACGAAUUAAAAUAGUGGUGAAUCAAUUGAAUAUCCUGCACCUGUAUGGUGCAGCUCCUAACAAAAUUAUGAGGGUUAUUCCUAGCAUUAUUCAAUCGGUUGGCCACCCGAUUUGGAACAAACAAUGCUCGGAACGAGCCUAUAACAUAUAAUGAAGUAUGAAAAGCCGAUUCUAUGGUACAGGCUUACGAUCAUAUUCGUCCAUUGAUGAUACUCAGGAAUGAGUUCAACUGAGACCAUUCCUCUUCCUGGCGAGCGACGCUGCUCUCAUGCUCUCUACACUUCUCCGACGUCUCAACGCCUCGUGAGCACUGCACUUCAAGAGCGCCGUCUUCUCUAUGAGAGGGGUGCACACCCUUGGUUGGACGAUGACUUCGUUUUGUUUACAACCAUUAAACGUGGAUAAUAAAAUGCGUUGACUCCUCUCCCGGACGAAGAUCUGCCGCAGAAAAUAUACCUAACACUUUUCCAGAGCUGUCAGCUACUUCAUACGAGCUGGUACCACGCUUUGCAACAAUAACGCAUGGCAAAUACACCGGCCCGUAUUUUGCAUUGUAGCGCUCGGCGGCGGAGGAAUGCUUAAAAUUGCGUUUAUAAACCUUCUGUCCUACUCGAUUCACCACUAGAAAAUGCAACUUUGCGUAACGCGAUCUCGUAUUCUAACUCAUCAUCGAGCAGAUGGUUUACAUUCAUCGAACGAUACAUUCGCACAUACUCCGAAUCCAUUAUAAAUAAGUCUAAAUACUAGGUUAAGAAAUUCAAUAAAGUAAAAUAAAGUUCAAAAAUUCAAUGUAUGUAAUAAAAAAAAAAAUUGACUGUAAGUAAUAAUAAUAAUAAAAUUUAGUUCAAGUACUUAAAAAAAUGCAAAAUAAGGAAAUAAUUCAAUAAACCGUGCUAUAUUUUGCUGUCUUUGUUUCGCUCAUUCAGGACCUUCGAAAAUUUAUUUCAAUGCAAAUAUUUAUAGAUUUAAUUCAACUUAGGUUAGUCACCCGCACCAAUUUCAAACUUGUGUACGUUCCAGAAACCAACCAACCUGCACUGCUUUCU